rnacentral:rRNA from 1 species
UACGUAGGGUGCGAGCGUUGUCCGGAAUUAUUGGGCGUAAAGAGCUCGUAGGCGGUGUGUCACGUCGGCCGUGAAAUCCUGAGGCUUAACCUUGGGUCUGCAUUCGAUACUGGGCGGCUUGAGUCUGGUAGGGGGAUCUGGAAUUCCUGGUGUAGCGGUGGAAUGCGCAGAUAUCAGGAGGAACACCGGUGGCGAAGGCGGCAUCCUGGACCGAGAUUGACGCUGAUGCGCGAAAGCCAGGGGAGCAAACGGG